CCUACGGGUGGCAGCAGUGAGGAAUAUUGGUCAAUGGGCUUACGCCUGAACCAGCCAAGUCGCGUGAGGGAAGACUGCCCUAUGGGUUGUAAACCUCUUUUGUCAGGGAGCAACGCCGGCUACGUGUAGCCGGACUGAGAGUACCUGAAGAAAAAGCAUCGGCAAACUCCGUGCCAGCAGCCGCGGUAAUACGGAGGAUGCGAGCGUUAUCCGGUUUUAUUGGGUUUAAGGGGUGCGUAGGCGGAAUGCAAAGUCAGCGGGAAAAUCGCGGGGCUCAACCUCGCUCCGCAGUUGAAACUGGCGUUCUUGAGUGGGCGAGAAGUAUGCGGAAUGCGUGGUGUAGCGGUGAAAUGCAUAGAUAUCACGAAGAACUCCGAUUGCGAAGGCAGCAUGCCGGCGCCCAACUGACGCUGAAGCACGAAAGCGUGGGUAUCGAACAGGAUUAGAUACCCGAGUAGUC
rnacentral:rRNA from 1 species